GCAUGGAUGGUGUAGCGGUAACAUCUAAGCUUCCCAACCGGGACAUUGCUUAGGCUCCGGGUUCGACUCCCGGUUCAUGCA